rnacentral:pre_miRNA from 1 species
UCCAACGUUUAACUGUCCGUUUUAUAUGAAUUUUUUAUAAUUAAUAUUUUCAUUAUCGUUAAAUAAUAAAACAUAAUUAAUAUUUUAUGUGUGAUUUAUCUUUUUAAUUUUUUUUUAUAUUUUUUUAAAUAAGACAGACGGUCAAAUAUUGGACACGGAAAUUUAGGG